GGCUCCUCUGCUUCCUCCUGCAUGCAUUGAUCCUGCCUCAGCCUCACCACUGAGCGCCACAUCACUACCUGUCUCAGUAUGGAGGAACAAAUCUUCCGUAAUUCGAAAAAUUAGUAAAUAAAUAAAUGCACACAUAAAUAGAUAAAUAAUGAAUAAAAUUGGAGAUAACAUUGAUUAUAUGCUGCUGUGCCGCACACGCCCAAUAAAAGCACACACAAAAAACAUUGUCAUUGCCUAGUUUUGGAACACUGAGCCAGCCAUUGACUGCACCAGGUGGCUGUGUUAUGAGUGGGUCGCAUUCGACAAUAAGGCAGCGGACUACCGCCAUAUAGUUUUGAAAUUAGAAGACCAAGAGACGGGAGUAGGUAGGCAAGAAGGAGUCGACCGGGAUUGACCAGAAAAUCAUGGUAAACUAACGUUAAUGAGCAGGACAUUUCUCUACGUCCAAGUUGAGGCUUGCUACCGGCAGGAGCAUGAAGCACUCCAACAGCGAUACCGAGACAGAAUGGUCCUCCUGACUAACUACCUGCGAUCUCUAGAGCAGAGAAGUGUGUCUGCUGAGCUAUGAAACUUUAGA